CGCGUCUCCCCGACCCCUCUCUCGCUGGCUCAGAUGAAUGAUGACGGCAGAGGGCAGAGAGCUUAGAGGACGCGGUACCAAGCCCCGUCCCUCGCCCAUCCCAACGAAGGUCUUAGAAUACAAUCAACCAACUACAGGAAGAAUUUGUAGAGGAGGUUUUCUUGUGUGUCUGCAUCGCCCCACCCACAGCCAUGUGAGGACACAGCAUCUGUGGCAACAAGGAGCCAUCUUGGGAGCAGAGAGCAAGCUCUUCCAGACACUGAAUCUGCCAGCACCUUGAUCUUGGUCCAGCCUUCAGAACUAUCAGUUGUGCUGUGGGAACUAAGCUACCAUGUUAUAAGCAGACCUAUUGUGUGGACAGGAACUAAAGCCUGCCAAAUACCGUGUGCGUGAGUCUGAAAACGGACCUUUCAGCCCCUGUCGAGUCUUGAGAUGACAGCAGCCCCAGCUGAGUGCUUGACUGCAACCUCAUGAGAGAACUUGAGGCAAUUCUAACCAGCUAAGCUGCUCCCAGAUUUCUGACCCUCCAAAACUGU
rnacentral:lncRNA from 10 species